GAUGAACGCUGGCGGCGUGCUUAACACAUGCAAGUCGAACGGUGAACACGGAGCUUGCUCUGUGGGAUCAGUGGCGAACGGGUGAGUAACACGUGAGCAACCUGCCCCUGACUCUGGGAUAAGCGCUGGAAACGGCGUCUAAUACUGGAUAUGUGACGUGACCGCAUGGUCUGCGUUUGGAAAGAUUUUUCGGUUGGGGAUGGGCUCGCGGCCUAUCAGCUUGUUGGUGAGGUAAUGGCUCACCAAGGCGUCGACGGGUAGCCGGCCUGAGAGGGUGACCAGCCACACUGGGACUGAGAGACGGCCCAGACUCCUACGGGAGGCAGCAGUGGGGAAUAUUGCACAAUGGGCGCAAGCCUGAUGCAGCAACGCCGCGUGAGGGAUGACGGCCUUCGGGUUGUAAACCUCUUUUAGCAGGGAAGAAGCGAAAGUGACGGUACCUGCAGAAAAAGCGCCGGCUAACUACGUG
rnacentral:rRNA from 1 species